GACGAACGCUGGCGGUGUGCUUAACACAUGCAAGUCGAACGGUAAGGCCCUUUCGGGGGUACACGAGUGGCGAACGGGUGAGUAACACGUGAGUAACCUGCCCUCAUCUCUGGGAUAACAGUCGGAAACGGUUGCUAAUACUGGAUAUGAGCUUGCAAGGCAUCUUGUGGGUUGGAAAGAUUUUUUGGUUGGGGAUGGACUCGCGGCCUAUCAGCUUGUUGGUGAGGUAGUGGCUCACCAAGGCUUCGACGGGUAGCCGGCCUGAGAGGGCGACCGGCCACAUUGGGACUGAGAUACGGCCCAGACUCCUACGGGAGGCAGCAGUGGGGAAUAUUGCACAAUGGACGGAAGUCUGAUGCAGCAACGCCGCGUGCGGGGAUGACGGCCCUUCGGGGUUGUAAACCCGCCUU
rnacentral:rRNA from 2 species